rnacentral:rRNA from 1 species
GACGAACGCUGGCGGCGUGCUUAACACAUGCAAGUCGAACGGAAAGGCCCUGCUUUUGUGGGGUGCUCGAGUGGCGAACGGGUGAGUAACACGUGAGUAACCUGCCCUUGACUUUGGGAUAACUUCAGGAAACUGGGGCUAAUACCGGAUAGGAGCUCCUGCUGCAUGGUGGGGGUUGGAAAGUUUCGGCGGUUGGGGAUGGACUCGCGGCUUAUCAGCUUGUUGGUGGGGUAGUGGCUUACCAAGGCUUUGACGGGUAGCCGGCCUGAGAGGGUGACCGGCCACAUUGGGACUGGGAUACGCCCCGGACCCAGACGGGAGGAAGAGGGGGGAAAGAGGCAAAAAGGGGGGGAGCCAUAAGGCAGCAACCCCGCGGGGGGGAGGCGGGCUUUGGGUUUGAAAACCGUUUGCGCGGGGGAAGAGGGGGGGGUGAGGGUAAGGGGUAAAGAAGCCCCGGCAAACCACGUG